GUGUAUGGCAUUACUACCCUGAACACGCCUGAUCUCAUCUGAUCUUGGAAGCUAAGCAGGAUCAGGCCUGGCUAGUACAUGGAUGGGAGACUUUCCACAGUGCCAGAACGUUUAGUUGAACAAU